ensembl:snRNA U6 U6 spliceosomal RNA
UUGCUUGCUUUGGCAGCACAUAUACUAAAAUUGGAACUAUACAGAGAAGAUUAUCAUGGCCCCUGCACAAGGAUGACACACAAAUUCGUGAAGCAUUCCAUAUUUUU